rnacentral:rRNA from 1 species
UACGGAGGGGGCUAGCGUUGUUCGGAAUUACUGGGCGUAAAGCGCACGUAGGCGGAUAUUUAAGUCAGGGGUGAAAUCCCGGGGCUCAACCCCGGAACUGCCUUUGAUACUGGGUAUCUGGAGGUCGAGAGAGGCGAGUGGAAUUCCGAGUGUAGAGGUGAAAUUCGUAGAUAUUCGGAGGAACACCAGUGGCGAAGGCGGCUCGCUGGCUCGAUACUGACGCUGAGGUGCGAAAGCGUGGGGAGCAAACAGGG